AUUGAACGCUGGCGGCAUGCCUUACACAUGCAAGUCGAACGGCAGCGCGGGCCUCGGCCUGGCGGCGAGUGGCGAACGGGUGAGUAACAUAUCGGAACGUGCCCAAGAGUGGGGGAUAACCAGUCGAAAGACUGGCUAAUACCGCAUACGAUCUAAGGAUGAAGGUGGGGGAUCGCAAGACCUCAUGCCCCUGGAGCGGCCGAUAUCUGAUUAGCUAGUUGGUGGGGUAAAGGCAUACCAAGGCGAAGAUCAUUAGCUGGUCUGAGAGGACGACCAGCCACACGGGGACUGAGACACGGCCCAGACUCCUACGGGAGGCAGCAGUGGGGAAUUUUGGACAAUGGGGGCAACCCUGAUCCAGCAAUGCCGCGUGUGUGAAGAAGGCCUUCGGGUUGUAAAGCACUUUUGUUCGGGAAGAAAUCCCUUGGGCUAAUAUCCCGGGGGGAUGACGGUACCGGAAGAAUCAGCACCGGCUAACUACGUGCCAGCAGCCGCGGUAAUAC
rnacentral:rRNA from 1 species